GUGGGCGUAGUUCAAUGGUAGAGCGCUAGUUUGUGGUGCUGGUUGUUGCGGGUUCGAGCCCCGUCGCCCACCCCA
rnacentral:tRNA from 5 species